UACAGAGACUGCAAGCGUUAUUCGGAUUCACUGGGCGUAAAGGGUGCGCAGGCGGCCGUGUGUGUGAGGCGUGAAAGCCCGGGGCUCAACCCCGGAAUUGCACCUCAAACUACAUGGCUAGAGCAUUGGAGAGGGAAGCGGAAUUCACGGUGUAGCAGUGAAAUGCGUAGAUAUCGUGAGGAACACCAGAGGCGAAGGCGGCAUCCUGGACCGGCAUUGACGCUGAGGCGCGAAAGCCAGGGGAGCAAACGGG
rnacentral:rRNA from 1 species